AAGGGGUUAAUGAUUAAUUAAGUAUGAUGAUAUGAAUUAAGUAUCAGCAGGGUCUAGGGUAAUUGAUGUCAGGUGAAUAGGAAACUCCCCAGGAUAAUGUCAGUGCCAGAGGGAGUGGUGAUUAGUGGGGAUAAAUGCUGGUGUGAUCUGCAUCUGAUGAAGGCAGAGUUGAAAUGUUUGUGGGGCUGGGCCCAGCUGAGAAUAAUAAAAGCUUUUCUGUUUCCAGCUGAGGAUAAAAAGAUUUAAAGUGAGAGUAUGUGAAAACAGUACAGAGAAGGGUAGAUGAAGAUUUUGUUGUUCUUCUACUUGUUUCAGUUACAAAUGAGAUUGUAAAAAUUCUGUUACAUCCCUGUGAACCUCCUUGAGAACUCCAGGUGGAAAACACUGCAGGAAAACUUAAGGAAAAGACUGCUCAGGAAACCACAUUUUUGAUGUGGUUUAUUCAACAGAUCUUUUCAUGGAAGUCAUCUGGAACUUCAAUUCACCUCUGUAGAGCAACGUUUAUACCAACUUGAAGAAGAUGAAGCAAAGGGGAGAGAGAGAAUCUGGUCAGAUAUUUAAAACCAGGUCUUGUACUUUAAAUCCCACAUCUUAAAAAUGAGAAGAAAUACAUGUUUUUCUGACUCUGUCUCCCUGACUCUGAACACAUAAGUGUUAUGAACUCAGCUUUCUGGACUCUGUGACUGCUCUGAGAUUGGGGUCACUUGGCUAGCAGUGCAGCACUCAGCAGCUGCACCACAAGUUCACUAGGCAGCCCUCUCUAUCAGUGUUUAUUAUACUUGUGUUUGCAGCAUGUCUUGCUGCAUAAUGCACACAGCCUCAUUGCUGGCAGAUUCUGUGUAGCUUGCCUGUUUUAGUGAGUUCAUUUAAAAUGUCAUUAUCUAAUUUUCCUAGAAAAACUACGGGAAAAAAUCUGCUUUUCUGAAACUGUAUAUCUAAUUGUAUAGGUGCUCCCCUGCUGCUGGCAACAAACUCCAGGAAAUAUGGGACAAUCCCUGGAAAAGAACAAGAGGUGAUUAAAUGUGCAGCCAUGCAGCUAAAACACUGAGUGGGCAUUCCAGCAGUCUGGAUAAAAGUUAUUUAUGUUGUGACUAUAUCUAAAAGGGCCUGAGCACUUUCCAAAUACAAGAGAAAAAUAAUCAUUGCACCGAAGAACUGGAAUAUAAGAAAACAGGCAUGUAUUGAAGGCUAUUUUAGGACAGAGCAAAGAAAAUAGGUGAUGAACUUGAAGACAGAUAUAAUAAAGUUUCUGAAGGUGGUUGGUUGGUUUAAUGUCAAUACGAUCAAGUCAUACUAGUACCAAUGCUAAUAAUCCAAGCUCUUAUAUCUUUUACAGGUAUCUUCCCUAUUUAUCUUGCCUGGAAACACUGGCUCUGCUAAUAAAAUCCCUUAUGCUCUUCCUUUCA